AAAAAGGUAUAGAGGUAGAUAGAGCUAAGAUAGAAGUUAUAGAGAACCUAAAACCACCCAAAACUAUCGGAGAAUUCCGAAGUUUUCUUGGACACGCUGGAUUCUACCGGCGUUUUAUUAAGGACUUCUCCAAAAUAACUAAACCUUUAAUUGUCCUUUUAAUGAAAGAUGCUGAAUUCAUUUUCAAUGAAAAAUGUAAUGAAGCAUUUAAUCUUUUAAAGCAAACAUUAAUAUCAGCACCCAUUAUGAAACCCCCUGAUUGGUCAGAACCUUUUGAGAUAAUGUGCGACGCUAGUGACUAUGCCGUUGGAGCCGUUCUAGGAAAAAGGAAAGAUAAAAAAUUACAUGCAAUUUAUUAUGCCAGUAGAACCCUAGACGCUGCCCAACUUAACUAUGCAACAACUGAAAAGGAAUUACUCGCUGUAGUUUUCGCUAUAGACAAAUUUAGAUCUUAUCUAGUAGGAGCCAAAAUUAUAGUUUACACCGAUCAUGCUGCCAUUCGUUACCUAUUAAGUAAAAAAAGGAUGCCAAGCCCAGGUUACUCGAUGGAUUCUGUUACUACAAGAGUUUGAUUUAGACAUAAGAGAUAAAAAAGCACUGAAAAUGUAGUAGUUGAUCACCUUUUCUAGGCUAGAACACUAAAACCAGACUUAGUACCAUAAAUGAUGAUUUUGCCUAUGAUGACUGUAGCUAGACUAGAAACAUUGAAGACGAUAUCCUAGGCCCUCAUGAGCACUUCCAAAAUCCUUAGAGUAAGUAACGUACCAUGGUAUGCAGACUUUGUUAAUUACCUAGCUGCACCCCCUGAUCUUGACUACCACCGCAAGAAGAAGUUCUUCAACGAUGUGAGAAACUUUUAUUGGGACGAACCGCUCCUUUUCAAAAGGGGUAAAGAUGGCAUUUUUCGCCGUUGCGUUCCAGAGGAGGAGGUAAAAAGUAUAAUUGAGCAUUGUCACUCUGCACCCUAUGGUGGACAUGCGAGCACCUCUAAGACAUACACCAAGAUUCUUCAAGCUGGCCUAUUUUGGCUUGCCAUGUGGCGUGAUGUCCAUGCUUGCAUUGUCAAAUGUGAUAGAUGCCAAUGCACUGGAAAUAUUUCAAGGCGUGACGAGAUGCCUCAAAGAAACAUUCAAGAAGUAGAACUCUUCGACGUGUGGGGUAUAGAUUUCAUGGGACCUUUCCCACCAUCCUUAGGAAACAAGUAUAUCUUAGUGGCUGUGGACUACGUGUCUAAGUGGAUUGAAGCCAUAGCUGCACCCACAAACGAUACUAGGGUAGUGAUCAAAUUAUUUAAGAAUUAUAUAUUCCCUAGAUUUGGAACACCCUGUUUAGUCAUAAGCGAUGGAGGAUCACACUUCAUAUCGAGAAUAUUUGAUAAACUUUUAAGAAAAUAUGGAGUUAGGCAUAGAGUAGCAACACCAUACCUAGAAGUAUUCCAAUAGGGAGAAUAAAACAAUCAAGAAAAAACUGUUUUAAUAUAGAAGAGACUGGUCUAGAAGCUUCAAGAAGCAAUUAUGGCUUUCAAAACCCCUAUAGGAACUACUCCCUACCAACUAGUUUAUGGAAAAUCCUGUCACUUACCUUUCGAAUUAGAGCAUAAGGCCUAUUGGGCCAUUAAAACUUUGAAUUUAGAUUACCUGACCGCUGGUGAAAAGCGUAUCCUUGACAUUCACAAACUAGAAGAACUCAGGCAAUCUACCUACGAGAAUGCCAAAAUAUACAAAGAGAGAACAAAAGCCUGGAACGACAAAAGAAUAGUUAAGAAAGAUUUCAAUAUAGGCGACCCUGUUCUCUUGUUCAACUCUAGGUUACGACUUAUCCAUGGGAAGCUGCACUCAAGAUGGACUGGCCCUUUCAAAGUAUCCAAAAUUAUGAGAUCCGGAGCCGUAGAAAUCAAGAAGGAAACAUGUAGUCCAGUCAUUGUAAAUGGACAAAGACUGAAGCUCUACGAAGGAGGAGACAUUCCAACAGACUACUCAAGCCACACUCUGAUCGAUCCACCGAUCCCUACUACAGGUGUAUAAAUUCCGAUCGUCAAGCUAAUGACGUUAAACAAGCGAUGCUUGGGAGGCAACCCAUGGUUUUCUUACCUUGUUUUACUUUUUUGCAUUUACAUUAUUUUAUUUUUAAUUUUUAAUUUUUAUCAUAUUUUCACCGAGACUAAAUAUUUGAAAUGUUUGUAUUUUCAGGAUCCCUUUUCCUAACUUUUACAGGAUGCAGGACUUCGACGAUAUGCACGUAGCCUAUAGAGAUGAUGCCCAGAGAGAGCUCUACAUAGCUCUUUACCAGCGCCCUAUGGCGCCUACACGCUACCCAGACCAGCACUGCAUGGAAGCCUUGGGCAUUGAGCCAAGCAUCCGAUUUCUGAGCCACCAACUCCAUUGGGACGAGUUCGCUGACGACCUAAGCAACACCUACAGGAACCUGACAUUGGAGUUCCUCAGUCCAGAUCGACCGAAGGAGUCAUUCAUGUAGGAGGGAUCAUCACACAGAUCGUCAUCGCCUUAGGUCUAUCCCGCAAGCUGUUAUAUCUCAGGACCUACUGUGGGUACACUACCAUGGAUAUCGACUUUUGCUUGACCAGAGGGUUGAUGACGAGAUCCUCCUUCAACCCAAGACAGUUCAGAUUGCUGGUCGAUAGUGAGGCGAUUCAUUAUUUUACACUGCCUGAUCCUAUGAUGACUAGUGUUCAUGACCCAGCAAACUGGAUUUACGCUCUGGAGGGCCAAGGAAAGACUAUCGAGGAGCCGAGAUCCCCACCUAUUACUGAGUAUACCCCUACACCGCCUUCGCCCAGGAUCACUGUAUUCUCUAACAAUUUAUCAUUGCAGACCCCAGACAUCCGCACGCAGAUUGCAGAGUGUCGUCGAGAGAUUGUCGGGCUUAGACAGGAGGUGGCUGACCUCACCUUAGAGAUGGGAGUAUCCGAUCUCACACACACUACCGAGGCUGACUGUUUAUACCAGGAGAUCACCGAGCUUCGCUAGGAGAUAGCCAUGCUUCGUGGAUCUACUCAGGCAGACGAACCCCCUACUAUUUGAUUUUACCAUCUCAUUUUAUUUUGUCUCAUUUAUGCUUAUAUUUUCCGUAUUUACCUAACUCAUUUUAUAUCAUUGCAUUUGGGAUAUUUUCUUAACUAUACUAGCACAUUAAUAUUAUUUCCAUUUUAUGUGUGUUUAUUAUAUUUAUAUUUUUAUCAUAGUCUAGUUAAUUAUAUUAUUUAUUUAUUUAUUAGUCUAAUGUUUUAAAUUUUAUUUCUAUAAAAUUAUGCAAGCCUUAUGUCAAUAGGAAAAUACAAUGCAAACCCUAUCCGGACCCCCUAACCGAAAAGAGAACGAGAAGCCCAAGCCAAAUGACCAAAAUCCGGCCCAAUCGAAUUUAUCCUUAUGGUGCCCGCCAUAGAUGUUAUGGCGCCCGCCCAGCGUCUGUUACUCGGGGCAGAUCACAUUCUUCACCAUUUUUCAACUUCAACCUCAAACCCAUUUUUUCACCUUCCGAAAAAGCCCUUGAACCCCACAAAAGCUCCCACCUUUCUCAUCUUCACACCAUACAAAUCAUUUUCCCAACUUCCAUUUUCAUUUUCAUCCAUCAAAUCUCAUAAAAAUCACACCUUUUUACAUACCCAUGUUCAUCUUCUUCAUCGCAUUGCAAGAGCUAAAUAAUGGAGUUCAAUGGAUUUAUCCUUCGUGAAGGGAAACCGGGAGAUAGACAGAGGAAGAUUAUCGAACGAUUGCAAAAUCGGGAAAUCCUCCCGACAAGGUAUGUUGAUGAAAAUUGUCUUUACACUUUGGGUAUCUAUCAUAGCAUUUUUUAUUUAUUAGAUAAUUUAGGCUUGCAUACUAUCUUUUCAAAUAAAGAACCUACCUUUGAGCGAUUGACAAUCGAAUUUUUAAGUUCUUUAAUUUAUAUUGUCAAUCCUAACACUGCUAGCACAGUUGGUAUUGUCAGAUUUAGAAUGUUUUCUGUUGAAUAUGAAUUCAGUACCGACGAACUAGCAGGCCUGUUAGGUAUUCCUCAUGGGGACGGUGCUAUUUGUGAGGCCCCUUUGGAUUCAGAUUGGUCGGUCGAGGUAUUUUCCUUAUGGAAGAGAUUGUCAAACACUUCAAUAAAUUCUUUUGAAGGAAUUCUUGCCUCGACCAUCCAUAACCCGACCAUCAGAGUUUUUAGAUAUCUGUUGGCAUGUACUAUUUUUGGCCGGGAGAAUCCAAUAGGGUCAAUGCCGAGGCUUCUAUUUUUUGCAAGAAGCCUCACCAUGAAGAUUAAUUCGGUCCCGUUUAUGCUUGCUCAUAUGGCUUUAACUCUUAAUAAAGCGGGACCGAUUGUUUUCGGAGGACUCAUUACGUCUAUUGCUCGGGCGCUUAACCUGAACAAUGAGAUAGCUACCCUAGAUCCCUUAGCUCCUUGCACAAUCAACCUAAAAUUUCUGAGAGACAUGAAAUUGUGCCGAUUGAGGAGAGAAGGAGGCUAUGUGCUUAUGGUUCAUGGUGUAGCUAUCCCAUCUGUUGUCUUACCGUGCACUAGACGUACUGAUGUACAUGAUGAAAGGAAUUGGACCUAUGUUUUAGAUGCUCCACCUGUUUUGGGUCCUCUUCCUCCUAAUGUUUCUGAUGAGGAGGGACACGACACUGAUGAAGAAUAUGAUCAGAGAGAGCAAUCUCCCAUACCUCAUGUGUCCCCCAUCACCCUUCACCACCAUACACCACACCAUCUUCUUCUUUUGCAGGUUCUGCUCCUGGCUUCUAUAUUACAGAGGAGAUGUGGCGUGACCACAUGGCUAGAGAGAAAAGGCGUGAUGACCUACUCUCUACCAUUCAGCAACAACUGGCGGACAACAUGAGCUUCAUGCAAGAAUCGUAGCGGAGGACAGAUAGAUCCUAUGAGGCUGUUGUACAGUCCCUGCUUACGAUCACAAACCAGCAAGCCCGUCAACAGCAAUACCACCGUCAACAUUCUGCACUGAUCGAGGCCACUCAGGGUUCCAUUUUAAGCAACCUUUGAGAGGCGAGGACUGCUCAGGAUGCCUUACAGGCCAGGAUGGAUCAGAGAGACCGUCGUCCACCUCAGGAUGGCGAAGGUACCAGUGGUCAGCAGUAGGAUGUCAGGUGUCUCUCCCCUUAUCUUAUUUCGAAACAUUGGGGACAAUGUUCGAUUUAAGUGCGGGAGGAGACUUUAUCGCUUUCUAUUUUUCUUUGCUGUUUUUAGUUAGUUUGUUCAUUUUUAUUGCUUUUUAGUUGUUUACUUCGUUUCAUUUUGCUUUUAGUUUGAGUGUUUUAGAUAAUGCAUGAGUCUGACGAGUCACCAGUAUAGUGUAUCUUUAGUACAGUCUAAUCUUCCCAUUCCUUUAGCCCUACCAAAAUUUUUUGCAAAAGAAAACGGUGUUAUCCUGAAAGUUUUUGGGUUUUUAAGACGGGUUUGAGUAAGGAUGCGGUGACUUGGGAGAACUUUUUGAAACAUCAGUAUUGUUUUAGCACCAUAGACUUCAUGAAUAUAGGAAUCACUCCCGAAACCCCAUAUACCAUGGCCUUAAUCAUCAUUUCAAUAUAAGUCCUCAGUAGUUUAUUCCAGCAGUCAGCUCCGGCCUACGCAUCCUCUACGUAGGGACCGAUGACAUAAGUGAAUGAUCCAGUGAAAUAAAUAAAAAUAAAAGAAAGCAAAAAGGAAACUCCGGUAUAGUUGACCCUCACAAAGUCAUUUAAACCAAAAAGGUUGUAAAAAUUUGCUACAAAAGAAAAGAAAAAGAAAGAAAAAAGCUCACCCACUGUUGUGUUGUUCAGAGGUAUCUGGCGCUGAACUCGGUAGGGAUGGAUACGAUCCGAUCCCCCACAACUGCAGUUGGGUCAAAUAAAGGGUUUACGACGAUAUUUAUGUGCCAGGAACCCCAUGUUUAGAUCAUAAUCACUAACAGGUCACUCUGCUAUGAAGCAUGUACGGAUAACGGGCUUAAUGUGAUUGCGCCUGAAUGAAAAGGACACAAAAAGAGAUGAAGAGGCAAACCUAGGUAUUAUAGGAUAAUAUGGGUUGGUUAAUAUCGGAAUAGAGUCUAUGUCCGUAUUUUUCGGAUAAGUGUCAUUAUGAUACCCUUAGUUCACUCAGUUAGUACCUAUCACUUCAUCCCGACUUGAACUUAGAAAUCUUUUAGCCUGAAUCACUCGUUGACACCAGUUUUUCUUCUAUGAGCUUUUUAAUGUUUUGCUUGAGGACAAGCAAGGGUUUAAGUGUGGGAGAAUUUGAUGACAUUGAAAUUCACCGUAUUUUCGACUCCGAUUUCGCAUGCAUUUUAGUUGUUUUAUUAUUAUUUUGUUAUGUUAUUACUAUGUUUCUCUUUGUUUUCAGGUUUUCAGUCUAAUCGGAGCCCCGAUCGAGAAAGGAGUGAAAACGAGCUAAAACCCUAAAAUUCAGCAUUUUCACUUGUGGCUCCCACUGUGGUGGCGCCAUGGGUCCAGCUAUGACGUGCCCUAGCUCAACUUCCCUCAACUGCCACGUUCCCACUACCUCCACUUGGGCGCCACACUUUGCUCUUGUGGCGGGCCGCCAAAGAAGAAAAGUUUUCCCUCCCAAAUUCAAACUGAAGGGCAUCCUUGUAUUUUCCAUUAUUUUACUUGCCUAUAAAUAGAGACUCGAAUUCAUUUGUUUAAUCAUCCAAACAUAGAGCAAAUCCAAACUUAGAGCAAACUUAGUUUCACUUAGGCAUAUAUUCAGUAUUUUAAAAGUGGUAAUUGCUUCACAUUGGGGUGUUGCCACAAUUGUGUAAUCAAGUUUGUGAUAGAGUCUGUAAUCGAGUUUGGAGCACUUUGGAAGGAAGUUAAUCCUGCCGCCAUUUUCAUUUCUGUUUCUCAUUUUAUUCAACCCUCCGAUUGGAGCAGGUUUUUAUUGCUUUACCUUAAUCUAUUUACUUUCCCGCACUGUCUUUACUUUAUUUAUUUCUCGCACUCGCACUACUUUCAUUUAUUUCUCGCACUCGCACUACUUUCAUUUAUUUCUCGCACUUGCACUACUUUCAUUUAUUUUCCCGCACUGUCUUUACUUUCAUUUAUUUCUCGCACUCGCACUACUUUUAUUUACUUUCUGCACUCACACUACUUUUAUUUAAAUUCCACACUCGCACUACUUUUAUUUAAAUUCCACACUUGCACUACUUUUAUUUAUUUGCCGCACUCGCACUACUUUUAUUUAUUUUCCGCACUCGCACUACUUUAUUUUAAAUUAAAAUGUACCUUUACUUUACCAUGUCUAACUAAAUCUAUAAAGGUUAGAAUGUAAGGACCGUAAUUGAACCGAUAAUCCGUACAAUUGCUCGUAGAAACACUUAAGGGCUAUUUUAACUUUCAACUUAAGUUUUCCUGCACUUAAUUUCGUUGGGUAAGAUCGAAAGCCGUCCAACGUCUUUUUAAAUUUAGUUGUUUUUAACUAUUUUAAAUACAGUGAAAGCGCUUUGUUUAGUUCAUUAGGAGUUUUUAACUUAAGAAGAAAAGUGAUUUUAAAACUAUUUUCGGACGCGUUUAUAAGUUUAGAGUCUGGUUUGUGAGAACCUCUUUUGGUUAAGGAAUCAAGGUUAAAAUACUUUUCAACUUAGUCAAGAUACUAUAUUUCUUAAAAAUAGGUUUACUACUCUAACACAAUGCGCGCCUUUUUAUAAGUGACAAUAAGAGGGUUUGAUUAGGGAGUACAACUCGGUUAAACUUAGUCAAGAUACUAUAUUUCUUAAAAAUAGGUUUACUACUCUAACACAAUGCGCGCCUUUUUAUAAGUGACAAUAAGAGGGUUUGAUUAGGGAGUACAACUCGGUUCUGAAUACGCGAAAGCGUCAGUUCCUGUUAAAUUGGUUCUUUUCAAAGCAGGAAACACUGCCCAUAAGUAAUCCUAUUAGCUAGUACUUGGAUUAUUAAUUGAUUAUGUGAAUUAAAUUCGAACCUGUCUUUAUUAAUUGAAUUUUAUUUAACACUUCACUUUUCAUUGCACACUCUUAAAACCCCUAUUUCGUUUACCUUAGAUAAACACCAUAAUAAUAGAUAACGAUAGAUUGACACUUGGUCUCUAUGGAUUCGACAAUCUUUUAUAUUACUCUGACGCGUUCGUAUACUUACAAAAAGCACGCAUCAAUUUCUCCUUAAAGCGCCUUGUCCCUUACAUAAUGAUGGUCUAUUUCUAUGUGCUUGGACCACUCAUGAAAAAAAAAUAUUAGAUGCAAUAUGGAAUGUCAGUUGAUUGUCACAUAUGAGUUUUGUAUCCUGAAGAUCUCCCAACCUAAGCUCUGAGAGUAAAAUUUUAAGACAUGCAAGUUCCUUUAAGGCUGCUGCCAUAAAAUGAUAUUCAACUUCAACACUAUAUAGUAAAAUUUUAUUUUGUUAUUUGCUUCUUCGUGAGAUCAUAUAUUACCUCUAAUAAGGACACAAGAUCCAAAAGUGGAUCUCUUAUCCGAUAGUGAUUUGACCUAGCCUGCAUCUAAAUAACCAAUGAUUUUAGCAAUACCAUUAUCUUCACAUAACAAUCCUUUUCCUCGUGUACUCUUUAUAUCUCUAAGAAUUUGGAUGACUGAAUCACAAUGAUCAUCACAAGGAGAGUUAAGAAACUGGAUCACAAUGCUCAUCGCAAAUGUAAUAUCUCGCCUGGUGAUUGUAAGAUAGUCGAGUCUACCCAUAAUCUUUCAAAGCCCCCCUGACCUCGAAGAAGCUUGAUGUUGGGAUCCAUAGGAGUAUCAAUAGGAUGACAAUCAAGCAUACCAGUUUCACUGAGGAUGUCUAAUGCAUAAUUGCGUUGGUUGAUUGCAAUUCAUGAUGAGGAUUGGGCAACUUCAAUUCCUAAGAUGUAUCUGAGUGGACCCAAGUCUUUGGUCUGAAAUAUAUUAAAAAUAUUAGUUUUAAGAUGUUGGAUACCCUAUGUGUCGUCUCUAGUGAUAACAACAUCAUCAACAUAGACCACAAUAAAGAUGUGUCGACUGGUGGAGGAAUAAAUGAAGAGAACAAAGUGAUUUGCUUCAUAUUUAGUCAUACCAAACUAUAUCAAGAUAGAGUUGAAGCAAACAAACCAAACACAUGGGAACUGUUUCAUCCCAUAAAGAGAACGACGAAGCUGACAAACAAGUCUAGAAUUUCCAAGAACAAUAUAACAUGGAGGUUGAUCCAUAUAAACUUCCUCCAUCAAUUCUCUGUGUAAAAAGACAUUUUUAACGUCCAACUGAUGAAGCGACGAAUGAUGAAUGACAACCAUUGCAAGAAAGAGGCUGACUGAACUUAUCUUGGCGACCAGAAAAAGCAUCACCAUAACAUGUGUGUAUCCUUUGGCUACCAAACAUGCUUUGAAACGAUCUAUCAGACCAUCUAGUCCAACUUUCAUUGUCUAAACAUAUCGAGAUCCCACAGUAGUAUUGUCUGGAGGUAAAGUAACAAUGUCUGAAGCGUUAUUUGAAUGUAAUGCAACCAUUUCUUCCACCAUCGCCUGAAGCCAAUUGGGACCAGACAUAACUUCACCUGUAGACUUAGGAAAAAACACAUAAUCCAAAACAUAAACAAAAUAUAAAUAGGAAGUAGAGAGACGAUCAUAAUUUAACAAACAUACAUAUUUAGGAUUAUGAGGAUGAGAUCGAAUACCUUUUUGUAAUGCUAUUGGAAGGUCAAGUUCAGGUGACGUAACUGAAGGAGGAGUUGAAGCAAGAGAUGGUACUAGUGGGUCAAUGUCAUCUCUUACCUGUUGGUGUAAGCCCUAGAGGCCAAUACUUUUGGUACUUGUAUCAAAUUAUCUAUUAAUAAUAAAAGGCUUUUUCUUUAUUAUGUUUGUCUAAUAAAUUCCCUAGAAUAGAUAGUCCGUUUAAUGUAUCGAGUGUGACUUAAUCAUGAGAUAACAUUAAACAUAAGGACACUAUUCUUAAAGUAUCCAUAGUCGAGCUUUAUUGUGAAGUGGGAUAACAUUAAAGCAUUAAGACUAUUAUGUAUAUAGACUGAUGAUCACAUCUCAUGGAUCAUGGAUAAGGAGUUAUAGUUUAAACAUAGGUUAUGAAAUAUUAAGAGUAAUAUUUAUAUGGAAUGACCCGCUCAAUGAGAAUUACUCAUAUAGAAUGUUAUUGCAAAAGAUGUUCAUAAGUUAUUCUCAUGCGUGGAUAAUGGUGUAUACCCACCCUUCGACCUGAAACCACUAUGGACCUAGUAGUCGAGUUCGAGUGCCUUAUUGCUGAUCAAACAUUGUCCGUAACUGGAUGACCAUAAAGACAGUUGAUGGGUACUCCACGAAGCAUGCUAAGAGACAUGAGUGACCUAGAUGGAAUUUGCCCAUCCCGCGUAACAGGAUAAAUGUCUAUGGGCCCAAUGUUGAACUAGACAAGGAUGACACGAUCUAUGCCUUGUGUUCAAUAUAGACAUAAGGGCAAAAGGGUAAUUGUACACAUAAGUAUUAUCACAAAAGGAUUUGUCAUAUCACAUGACAUUUUUGUGUCUUGGGUAGCAGUGAUGUGUUCCUAGAUACCGCUCACUGUUUAUUAUGUUAAAUACGUGAUUUAAUAUAAUUGCCAAUGUCGCGAAAACCUACAGGGUCACACACAAAAGGACGGAUUGAUGAGAGAUAGAGUAACUAAGGAAUAUCGUAAUGUACGGUGCACUUAAGUGAAUUGUAGUACAUCUUAAGGUACGGUGUACUUAAGUAGAAUACGAAAUAUGGUAAGGUACCACGCGCUUAAGUGAUUUUGGCAUAUUAUAAGAUAUGGGCCACAUACACUUGAGUGGGCUUUUUAGCUUGCAGCCCAUUAAGUGAUUUUGGCAUAUUAUAAGAUAUGGGCCACAUACACUUGAGUGGGCUUUUUAGCUUGCAGCCCACACAAGUGGUUCUAUAAAUAGAACCCUUGUGUAGAAGCAUUAGUGCAAUUGCAAUUUCGUUUCUCUGUCUCUCUCACUCAAAGCCUUCAUUCGUAGUAGCUAGCACUGAGAUUGAAGGAAUCCGUUCAUGUGGACUGAGUAGAGGCGUUGUCAUCGUUCAACGUUCGUGAUCGCUCUGUAGAUCUGCAUCAAAGGUUAAAAUUGCCACAAGAGGUAACAAUUCUAUCACUGAUCAUGCCCAUUCAUAAGGAUCACUAAAGGAGAAAUUUUAAAUUUCACUGCGUUUUGGAUCGCUCUUCUCCUUCAGUGGUAUCAGAGCCACUUACGAAACCAUGCAUCUGAUAGCUGCUUAUUUUCUGUAUUUUCUAUAUUAAUACGAUUAAAAGACAAAAUGAAUAAAAAAAAAUAAACGAGUAAUUAAAUUUGGCAUCAUGUGUGUACGAUUUGGAUGAUUGAUGUUGACUAUGCUUCGGAAUCCGACAUUAGUAUGGUGAAGCAGCGAUACAUCGAUCGUCCAGAGGUUAUGCAAUUGAGAUCGAUCAAGUUAUAUAUAUGAUAUAAGUAAUCCUGAUGCAAAAUACGGUAUAUAUGAUAUACUGUUUCUGUUUCGUUCAUUCAAACACUUAAUGGUUGUUUUCCUUUGAGAAAUACGGUAUAUAUGAUAUACUGUUUCUGUUUCGUUCAUUCAAACACUUAAUGGUUGUUUUCCUUUGAGCGAUCAAUGGUCGUUUGCUUCUUGAUCCGACAUUAGUAUGGUGAAGCAAUGACGUGUUGAUUAAUCAUACUGAAUCAACAAUCGAGGUGUGUUUGACGGUCUGAAAUUGGUGCAUUAGGGUUAAUGAUAGCACAAGGGUUGUGUUGUCAAAGAGUUAUGCGAUUAGGGUUAUGACUGCGCAAGAGUUGUGCUUUAAAGUAUCAAGUGUUGAUGCGAAAAACAAUGUCGAUUUCAAAUGAAUUAUUCAUUAAAAAUUUCGGCCAGGGGCAGCAGACCCUCGACUAACUCUGUGUAGUGUGAUCGGUCGCCGAAAUUUAAUUUGGUUUUAAAUAAUUAAAAGAAUUAAAAUUAAUAAUAAUAAUGUGUUUAUUAUUAUUGUCUUGUGGUGAUCAGCUAUGGCCUUAGUUUUCCUUUAUUUUGUUUUGGGUUUUUUAAAAAUACAACCUGCGUGUCGUGCCUCUCUUUUAAUCUCAUAAUGUAACUUCUUUUCUCAUCUCACUCCCUCGUAUGUAAAACGAGUUUCUUUUAUGUAAUGUAAUGUUAUGAAGAAAGAGAAGAAUUCAAUAUCAAAUGAGGACAACCUUGAAGAUCUUGCUUGGAGAAGCUUAGAUCGUUAUUAGGUUAGCUUAGGUUCUCUCAUUGGCUUGGGAGAACAAUUGCGCUAGGGGCCAUAACUGUUUCAUUAUGUAUGUAUGUAUGUUGAUGCAUGUGAAUGUAUGUUGAUGCAUGUGAGAGACGNNNNNNNNNNNNNNNNNNNNNNNNNNNNNNNNNNNNNNNNNNNNNNNNNNNNNNNNNNNNNNNNNNNNNNNNNNNNNNNNNNNNNNNNNNNNNNNNNNNNNNNNNNNNNNNNNNNNNNNNNNNNNNNNNNNNNNNNNNNNNNNNNNNNNNNNNNNNNNNNNNNNNNNNNNNNNNNNNNNNNNNNNNNNNNNNNNNNNNNNNNNNNNNNNNNNNNNNNNNNNNNNNNNNNNNNNNNNNNNNNNNNNNNNNNNNNNNNNNNNNNNNNNNNNNNNNNNNNNNNNNNNNNNNNNNNNNNNNNNNNNNNNNNNNNNNNNNNNNNNNNNNNNNNNNNNNNNNNNNNNNNNNNNNNNNNNNNNNNNNNNNNNNNNNNNNNNNNNNNNNNNNNNNNNNNNNNNNNNNNNNNNNNNNNNNNNNNNNNNNNNNNNNNNNNNNNNNNNNNNNNNNNNNNNNNNNNNNNNNNNNNNNNNNNNNNNNNNNNNNNNNNNNNNNNNNNNNNNNNNNNNNNNNNNNNNNNNNNNNNNNNNNNNNNNNNNNNNNNNNNNNNNNNNNNNNNNNNNNNNNNNNNNNNNNNNNNNNNNNNNNNNNNNNNNNNNNNNNNNNNNNNNNNNNNNNNNNNNNNNNNNNNNNNNNNNNNNNNNNNNNNNNNNNNNNNNNNNNNNNNNNNNNNNNNNNNNNNNNNNNNNNNNNNNNNNNNNNNNNNNNNNNNNNNNNNNNNNNNNNNNNNNNNNNNNNNNNNNNNNNNNNNNNNNNNNNNNNNNNNNNNNNNNNNNNNNNNNNNNNNNNNNNNNNNNNNNNNNNNNNNNNNNNNNNNNNNNNNNNNNNNNNNNNNNNNNNNNNNNNNNNNNNNNNNNNNNNNNNNNNNNNNNNNNNNNNNNNNNNNNNNNNNNNNNNNNNNNNNNNNNNNNNNNNNNNNNNNNNNNNNNNNNNNNNNNNNNNNNNNNNNNNNNNNNNNNNNNNNNNNNNNNNNNNNNNNNNNNNNNNNNNNNNNNNNNNNNNNNNNNNNNNNNNNNNNNNNNNNNNNNNNNNNNNNNNNNNNNNNNNNNNNNNNNNNNNNNNNNNNNNNNNNNNNNNNNNNNNNNNNNNNNNNNNNNNNNNNNNNNNNNNNNNNNNNNNNNNNNNNNNNNNNNNNNNNNNNNNNNNNNNNNNNNNNNNNNNNNNNNNNNNNNNNNNNNNNNNNNNNNNNNNNNNNNNNNNNNNNNNNNNNNNNNNNNNNNNNNNNNNNNNNNNNNNNNNNNNNNNNNNNNNNNNNNNNNNNNNNNNNNNNNNNNNNNNNNNNNNNNNNNNNNNNNNNNNNNNNNNNNNNNNNNNNNNNNNNNNNNNNNNNNNNNNNNNNNNNNNNNNNNNNNNNNACCUGUUCCUGAAGAGGAACCUCCUAGUUCUGCACCUAAGGCAGAAAGAGAUGCUUAUAAGAAGCAUGUCGAUGAUGCCAAUGAAACUGCUUGUCUCAUGCUAGCUACCAUGAACUCAGAGUUGCAAAAGCAACAUGAGAACAUGGCAGCGUUCGAUAUGAUCGAACACCUGAAGAUGCUCUAUCAAGAGCAAGCAAGGCAUGAAAGGUUUGAAGUUUCAAAAGCCCUUUUUCAAGGCAAGUUAGCUGAGGGAGCCCCUGUAGGUCCCCAUGUGCUCAAGAUGAUUGGGUAUGUGGAAAACCUUGAGAGGUUAGGUUUUCCCCUCGAAAAGGAACUUGCGACUGAUUUGAUCUUGCAAUAGUUUCCAGAUAGAUUCAGUUAAUUUGUCCUAAAUUUCAAUAUGAAUGAUAUUGACAAAUCUCUUCCUGAACUGCUAGCCAUGUGAAGAACUGUUGAGCAGAAUCUGAAGUCAAAAGGGAAGUCCAUUCUGAUGAUCAGAAACGGAAAGAGACAGAACAAAAGACCCACCAAGCAGGGUGAUAAAGGGAAAGGCAAGGAAGUUGCCAAACCCAAACCCACUGUUUCUGCUUUGAAUCCUAGUGGAGGCAUAGCAAAGGAGGGCACCUGCUUCCAUUGCGGUAAGACCGGACACUGGAAGAGAAACUGCCCAAAGUACCUGGAAGGUAAGAAGAAUGGAGUAGAGACUUCAACUUCAGGUAUUUUUGUUAUUGAAAUUAAUUUAUCUACUUCUGCAUCAUCGGUAUUAGAUAUUGGAUGCGGUUCUCACAUUUAUACCAAUGUGCAGGUGCUAAAAAGGAAUAGAGAUUUGGCAAAAGGUGAAGUUGACCUACGAGUUGGCAAUGGAGCAAAGGUUGCUGCUUUAGCCCUAGUGGUUUAAUAAUUCAGUUAGAGAACUGUUAUUAUGUACCUGCAAUUAGCAGGAAUAUUAUUCUUGUUUCUUGUUUGGACAAGUUUGGUUUUUCAUUUAUAAUAAAGAACAAUUGUUGCUCAAUUUGUUUGAAUGAUAUAUUCUAUGCUACUGCACAAAUGAACAAUGGACUAUAUGUCCUUGAUCUUGAAAUGCCUAUUUAUAACAUUAAUACUAAAAGGAUGAAACCUAAUGAGCUAAAUCCAACUUACCUUUGGCAUUGUCGAUUAGGCCACAUAAAUGAGAAACACAUUUCCAAACUCCANAUGAUGCCAAUGAAACUGCUUGUCUCAUGCUAGCUACCAUGAACUCAGAAUUGCAAAAGCAACAUGAGAACAUGGCAGCGUUCGAUAUGAUCGAACACCUGAAGAUGCUCUAUCAAGAGCAAGCAAGACAUGAAAGCUUUGAAGUUUCAAAAGCCCUUUUUCAAGGCAAGUUAGCUGAGGGAGCUCCUGUAGGUUCCCAUGUGCUCAAGAUGAUUGGGUAUGUGGAAAACCUUGAGAGAUUGGGUUUUCCCCUCGGAAGGGAACUUGCGACUGAUUUGAUCUUGCAAUCGUUGCCAGAUGGAGUCAGUCAAUUUGUCCUAAAUUUCAAUAUGAAUGAUAUGGACAAAUCUCUUCAUGAACUGCUAGCCAUGUUAAGAACUGCUUAGCAGAAUCUGAAGACAAAAAGGAAGUCCAUUAUGAUGAUCAGAAAUGGAAAGAGACAGAACAAAAGGCCCACCAAGCAGGGUGAUAAAGGGAAGGGCAAGGAAGUUUCCAAACCCAGACCCAUUGUUGCUACUUUGAAGCCUAGUGGAGGCAUAACAAAGGCAGGCACCUACUUCCAUUGCGGUAAGACCGGACACUGGAAGAGAAACUGCCCAAAGUACUUGGAAGAUGACAAAAUCUCCAUUCACAGGAAAAGGUGAAAUAGCUAAUGAUCUUUUGGCCCUCAUACAUACUGAUGUAUGUGGACCACUGAACAUUCCAGCCAGAGGAGGUUUUCAGUACUUCAUUUACCGAUGAUUUCAGUAGAUAUGGUUAUGUGUAUUUAAUGAAACACAAAUUAGAGUCCUUUGAAAAGUUCAAGGAAUUCAAGAAUGAAGUACAAAACCAACUAGGUAAGAAUAUUAAAACUCUUCAAUCAGAUCGAGGUGGUGAAAUAAAUUCGGAUCUCAAACUACUGGUAGACUUUGAGUGUGGGAUCCUAUCCCAACUUACUCUUCCUGGAACACCCCAAUGGAAUGGUGUAUCUGAGAGAAGAAAUCGAACCCUGUUAGAAAUGGUCUGAUCCAUGAUGAGUCACGCCGAUCUUCCAAACUCCUUUUGGGGACAUGCACUAUUGACAUCAUAGUUCUUCUCCCUACAGACCCAUGAUGAAUGGGGUUGUUGAAGCUGCGAAUAAGAAUAUAAAGAAGAUUAUCCAAAAAAUGGUUGUCACGUAUAAGGAUUGGCAUGAGAUGCUCCCAUUUGCUUUGCAUGGGUAUCGUACAUCCAUCUGCACUUCAACAGGGGUAACCCCUUUAUCUCUUGUAUAUGGUAUGGAAGCAGUGCUCCCCGUAGAGGUUGAGAUUCCUUCAUUGCGUGUGCUCAUGGAAGCCAAGUUGAUUGAAGAUGAAUGGUGUCAGACCAGGUUUGACCAGUUGAAUUUAAUUGAAGAGAAGAGAUUAACUGCCAUCUGUCAUGGUCAGUUAUAUUAGCAGAGAAUGAAAAAAGCUUUUGAUAAGAAGGUCAAAUCUCGAGUGUUUAAAGAAAGUGACCUUGUGCUCAAGAAGAUUUUUACAUUCAAGUUGGAUUCCAGAGGAAAAUGGACUCCCAAUUAUGAAGGCCCAUAUGUUGUUAAGAGAGACUUUUUAGGCGGUGCUUUGAUUCUUACAAUAAUGGAUGGUGAAGAGUUCACUCGUCCUGUGAACGCAAAUGUAGUCAAGAAAUACUUCGCCUAAAAAAGAAAAGAACAACUCGCUAAGUUGAAAACCUGAAAGGGCGGCUUAGGCAAAAAUGAGCGUCUCGGUGGAUUGAAAACCCGAAAGGGCGAUCCAGGCAAAAAUUAGAGACAUAAAACAGAAAGAAUUUCCCGAUAAGUUGAGUACCCCACCUUGGGGAAAGCGGCUUAGGCAAAAAUGAGCGUCUCGGUGGAUUGAAAACCCGAAAGGGCGAUCCAGGCAAAAAUUAGAGACAUAAAACAGAAAGAAUUUCCCGAUAAGUUGAGUACCCCACCUUGGGGAAACUUAUACAAAAAUUAGGGAUUAUGGCAAGUAACUGCAUUCUGCUGAUCUUCAGUGAUUUUGAAGGCUUGUUUGAGCACAAAGGGUUGACAUCGAUUCAUUACCCCAACAGCGGUCAAGAGCACAAUGGAUAUCAAGAGUUGGUAGAAGGAAUAAGGAUCAUUUGUAUUCAAUGUAACCCUUUUCCAUGUAAAUUACCAUUUUCAACUUCGUAAAAAUCUAUGGAGUCUUGUCAUUUACAGACUACCAUUCCAUUAAAUAAAGUUGAGCUUUUAUCCAAUUAUUUCUAAUCUUAUUUACUUCAGCCAAUAGUUUUAAAUUUUAUUAUGAUCAUUUUGAAAUAAAAAAUUUAAAUCAAAAUCAAGUUUUCUUUAAUAUAUAAAAGCAAGAAUUUUUCCAAAGCAAGUUAAAAGGAAUAUCAACAGCAUUUCAAGGAAUAACAAGUCCUUAAGGGUGAAACAUCAGAGGUUCCCCAAGCAGUUAACCCUUCGGGUAUCCCUAGACAUUAGUGUUGAUUCAGUUCCUCGGUGGAGUGUUCGAUCCUCAGUGGAAUUUCUUUGUCCCCAGCUGAUUUGGUUGAUUCAGAUACCCUGUGGCGUGUUGUUUUCUCCGACAGAGUUUCUGCCUUCCCCAACGAAGUUUGUAUUUCCUCAGCAGGGUGGAUCUUCAGAGAUGGUUGAUCUUCCCCGAUGGAUCGCUUUGGUUUCCCCACCAAUCACCAUUCAAUUUGCUCCCAGUCAGAGUUUCCUCCUGGUUUCUGAGCAGCUUUUCUUAUUGAUUAUUCUCUGUAGGGUUGUCUCCCAUUUUUAUGGUGUUGACCUAAAAUUCCCCAAAGAGUUGAUAUUGUUCUAUCCUCAGCAGAUCUCCUCCUUCCCCGGUUAGGUUUGAACCUUUGGGAUGUUGAUCUCUCUGUUCUCCAGCAGUUGUCUCCAUGUUUUGUGGAUUGACCGAGGAUUGUACCAGUGGUUUAAUUUCUUUGCGACACCUUUGUAUCCUUUGUGAUCAUUUUGUCAGCAUAAUCAUCAUAUAUACAUAUACAUACACAUUCAUAUAAUUUCAUAAUUUGCAUAUCUCGCAUAUUCAUAUUUGAUUUAUUUGAGAUUCUUAUGGCGGUAUUUUAUCCCCAUACCAAAUCUGGUGUCUGUCCUCCUUCAAUUAUAGAGUGUCAUCCCCUUAAGCAGAAAGACUUUAACCUUUCUCCGUUUCCCCACUGAGUUUGUUACCUCAUGGACUGUUGUUAUUUUAGUUUCCUUUCCAGUGAAUUUUCUGGAUGGAAUUACUCCCAUUGAGUUAUGUCCUCACUGGGAUGGGUCUUUAUUGGCCAUUUUCUUUCUAGCUCUUACCUAGAUAGAUGCUUUGGUCCCCUAAGAGUCUAUUACCCAGUAACUGGUAAUAUUCUUCUUAGUUUGCAGUUUGUUACUUCUUGCCUAAUACCCAAAAAAAAGUACCCUUAUCUUUCUCCUCAGUAGAGUCCCCAGUGGGUCUAUUCCCCAGGAAGUAUAUCCUUGAUAUGUUCAUCCUAACCGGUGACGGAUAUUUUUCCUUCCCCUGCCUGAGUCUAUCCUUGAUAUGUUCACUUUAACCAGUGACGGAUAUUCUCAUUUUUGGUAUUCUACCCAGUAAAAAGGUAGUUGUAAUCCCUAUUUUGUUCCUCAGAGAGUUAAUAGAUAUGUUCACUUUAACCAGUGACGGAUAUUCUCAUUUUUGGUAUUCUACCCAGUAAAAAGGUAGUUGUAAUCCCUAUUUUGUUCCUCAGAGAGUUAAUCCUUGAUAUGUUCAUCUUAACCGAUGACAAAUUUUCUUCUCCUUGUGGUUUUCUACCCAGUAAUCGGUAGUUGUAAAUCCUGCUUUAUCUCCUUUUCAGAGUCUAUCCUUGAUAUGUUCAUCUUAAUCGGUGACGGAUUUUCUCUUUGAUUGGUCUUCUACCCAGUAACCGGUAGUUGUAAAUCCUACUUUGUCCCCUCGCAGAGUUAAUCCUUGAUAUGUUCAUCCUAACUGGUGACGGAUUUUCUCUCUGACGGUUUUCUAUCCAACUUUCGAUAGAUGUAAUUCCUACCCUUUUUGUUCAGUUGGUAUAUCCUUGAUAUGUUCAUCCUAACCGAUGACGGGUAUCCUCCUUGGCAUUUCCAGACAAGUCUAUCCUUGAUAUGUUCAUCUUAACCGGUGACAGAUUUUCUUCCCUGUUGAGUUUAUCCUUGAUACGUUCAUCCUAACCGAUGACGGAUACUCUCUCCCUUGGUCUUCUGCCCAGUAACUGGUAGUUGUAAAUCCUAUAUUUUCUGCAGUUUUUCCCAGCAAGGCUAUUCUUACCCAGUAACCGGUAAUGAAUUUCCUCUCCUGGAAUCCUCAGCGAGUCAUCCUUGAUAUGUUCAUCCUAACCGAUGACGAAUGUUCUCUCUGUCAGAUCUUUAUUAUCUCAUUAUCUAGUAACAGGUAGUAGAUAAUAGAUUUCGGUUCCUCCUGUGUUUAAGUUUUUCUUCCCCAGUCGAGUUGAGUGCGUAUUUCCUUAGUGAAAUCGCUUUUCUUUCAUGAGUCGAGUAUUUCAGUUUUAUCCAUACUUACUCGUAUCCCCUGCAGAUGUUAUUAUUCCCUGGCUGAGUCUUUUCCAUGUUUGUAUGGAAUCUCUUGAGUCUCCCCAGUAGAUUUAAGUCGUAGCCUGGCCUACGCAUAACUCCUUUUUCCCUAGAGUCUCUGUCUCCCCAGUGAGUUUUCCUUACGAAAUGCAUUGUGCUCCUACGGAUUUUUGGUCUCUCUGAUUUCUUUUUCCUUUGUGGCAAUAUUUCCCCACAGAGCAUUAACUUUUGCAUUCAUGUCAUAUGCAUCAUGAGGUCUCUUAGGGACCAAAAUUUGUUUCUUUAUGUUGUUAUUUAAGCCCAUUCUACUGAGUCGACAUGAAGAUUUUUACCUUCGCCUCCUCAGUUAUAAUGUCCUUAAAUAGGGGCAGCUGUAAGACCCCAAUUUUGACCCUAAGAUCCCUCAUGUAGUUUCAUCAUAAGCAUUAGCAUUGGGCUCAUACCUUGGCAUCCUCCUUACCCCUCUUUCAUUGGGUUUGUUUUGGGAGAGAUCACCAAGCACUUUGUGAUUGUAUCAUACUUGUAUUUUAUGUAAAGUGAUUGGUUUUAUAGUUUUUAUACAGAUUGCAUUUGCCUAACUCUUUUGUAGGAAGGGCAUGAUCUCCAUUGAUCUAUCAAGUUCACAUCUAGGGUUUGAGACCCUCAUGAACAAAGAGCAUAACCAAGAAUUGAUUCAAGAAUGGUUAUGAACAUCAUAUAUGAGUCUCAAUUUUCUCUACAUGUUAUAUUGAUCAAGUUUUCUUCAAGAGUUUGAGGGUGAUUUGCCUUGGAAACCCUAGUUUGAUUGGGUAUCUUGAGUAACUUCUCCAACAAGCUAUCUCACCAACUGAUCAAAUUUCUCAAGGGAUACUUCAAAUUUCAUCAUCUUAUGCAUAUAUGAUCUAACAUGAGCCAAGAAAGUCAAGAUAAUUGGAAGUUAGCAAGUUGGUUGAUGGUGGUUGGCCAGAUGGAUUCAUCUGAUCAAAACUGGGUCUCCCUAGACCCUAUGUCCUACAAUUUUCACCAUAUGAAAAUUAUUCCAAGAGAAAACUUACUCUAAAUAACAUUCCAAACAAGUUUCAUGUUGAGACCUAGAUCUAGUUUUGCUUUGAAAAUCAUUUUCUAUAUUGAAACAUUAUAGGUUAUUUUGUCUAAACCCUAAUUUGAAAGUCAACUUCCCAAGACCAUAACUUGCUCAAUUUUUAUGAGAUGAAAUAUUUCCAAGUUUCAUAAUCAAAUUCAAUGUGUCUACUUCAACUUUGUUGUUUGAAGUGGGAGCUAAUUCAAAUUGUUUGAGCAUGUGAUAUGAGGUUACAUUAUAGGUCACUUUUGACCUAUACCAUUGAUCAAGUGAUUUUUCCAAACUUCAAAAAUGCACAACUCUAUCAUUUUAAAUCCAAAUGACAUGGAAUUGCUGACCAUUUUGAAGGUAUUUGAGAGAGCUACAAGUUUAAUGAAAACACCUUUCUCAUUUGAAGCUCAUAUAAAAAGUUAAGCAAGGUGGAACAUUGAGACAUAUGACUUGACACUUAGAAAAAUUUUGAUAUGUCAAAAAUUUCCAAACUUCCACCUCAAAUUUCUCCAAGUUGCAAGCUCCAAAUGAAAAAGUAUUGAACAUGAAAGUUGUUCCUCUUGAUCUCACUUUGACAAAAAGCUCAAAUUCAUUCAUUUUGGACAAGGAAUGCAUAGGUUGUGCAUGGCAUGAACAUGGUGACAUCACUUGGCAAGGAUCAAACUUCAAAUCCAAAUGCACAAUUGCCUUGCAAUCCAAGCUGAAUUCAGACUAUCUAACAUUCAUUUGGGGACUUAUGGCAAUGAUUUUAUGGGCUUAUGCGCGCCCAUGCACCCAUGCAUCAUCAAUGACCAAAUUUGGAAAGUGAUUUCAAGUUUGCAAAUAUCAAUGGUUUCAGCUAUAAAUAGAGCCUCAUAUGCUCAACAAUCAACACACAUUCGCGCCAGCUUUGAUCCCCCAUCUCAAACCCUCACUUUGCAAAGGAUAAACUUGAGAAAUUCAUUUGAAUUUAAGGUUGAAUUUCCACUGUUUUGAAAUUCAAAUCUCCAGGAAUCCACAACCUUGUAAGCAUCCAAUACUUCUUCUGCAAGAAAGUGGAGUGAGAUCAAGCACAAGCAAGAUCAAGAUCAGUUGAAUCCAGACCUCCAUUGAAGGUAUUUUUUAGAAAUUUUGAUCUCUUCGAUUCUCUCAAAUUCUUGCUCAAUUCUAAACUAAGAAACCAACAGACUUCAGGAUGGUUACAUCGCAAGAAGAUUGAGUUGCUUUGAGGCCAAAUCGAAGCAACUCAGUUCAUGUACCUCAAAUUUCAACUCCAUGUAUCUCUCAAUAUACUUGAGUUAGAGUGAAUUGAGGCCAGAUUCGAGCUCAGUUCCAUUUUUACUUUGAAAUCAUGUCCUUGUUUUUAAUUUUGGUGAUGGUUGAUGGUGGACCAGUCCGGUGAGGUCCACCGGAGAAGAAGAUCGGAGCUAUAGCUCCGGCCAUGCGCUGGCAUGUCUCACAACCACAUGAUCCUCUUGUUUUGUUUUAAUCACGAUCGUCCCUUUUAAAUACCAAUGUUGUGGCACGCUGACUCAUGUCCAUCGUGGAUAGCGCGUUUCUGGCCACUUGAUCUGCCACCUCAAUUAAUAAGGGAGAUCAAGUGGUCCACGUUUUUUCUGAUAUUUUAAUUGCAUUAUUUUCAACAAUUCAUAUUAAAUUCAAUAUUGAUCCAAAAAAUAUGGGAUUUUCACCAAAAAAAUUCAAAUAUUUUUCUCUUUCAUAUUAUGAAUUAAAAUUAUUUUUUGGAUCAUUAUUAAUAUUUUUCAUGAAUUAAUUGAUUUUGCAUUUGUUUUUAAUUGUUUAAAAAUAUUGUUAAAUAUCCAAAAAUUAUGAAAAUUUUUCUCCAAGGUCCUUUGACCUUGUUUGACCUAUGAUAAAUCUCAUGCCCAUUUCUUUGGUGUUUUGAUGAGAUUUUAGGAAUUGGAUAAACCAUAUUUAAUUUAAAUGCACUAUUUUAGUAUUUUUAAUUUGAAUAAAUUCCAAAUAAAUUUGUUGACCAAUUGUGAUGACUUGUUUAUGUUUGAAUCUUGUUGUUGGGCCUUAGUCAAGGUUGAUUUGACUUUGUCAAAUUAAUAUCAUUGGAUUUAGGGGAUUGAUGAAAUGUACAUUCCAUCUCCCAAAAUGAAUGGAUGAUAUUAAUUUGGUAAAAGUCCUCCUUUGACCAAUUUGUGUUUUGAUCCAUUCCCCUCCCACUUCAUCUUAUCCCCUUUCUUCAUUCAUUCAUUCCAUUUGGCCCGUGACAUCUCAAAGUCCUAAUGCUAAUUGAUUGAAAAGUUGACAUGAGUAUGGAUAAGAUUAGGUCACACCUUUUGCAUAUUCUUUUUGUGUGUGGUAUGUUUCAUGAGCAUAGUCCAUUAUAUUAUGUCUCUAACAUGCAUUAACACCAAAAUUCUAUUGUCCGACCUCAAAUAGUUGUGCCUUCUACAUAAGUCCAAUUACGAUUGCUUAACAUAGCGCUAAAUUUGUGACAUAAAAGGCAUAAGCAUUCUAGUUAGUGAGAUUGUAAGUCUCCCCUCCUUUAUGGUAUUGUGUGGAAACUUUGCCUUCUUUCCUUCCUUUGGAAGAUGUUUUGGCUCAAGGAUUCAUGCUUGUGAUAAGUGGGUUGAGUAUUCUCCAAAGAAUGUCUUGAAAUGAAAAGCAAAAGCAAAACAAUACUAACUUCUAACCAAUUAACUACUAACUUUUAAUUUCAAGCUUUUACUUUAAUGCAAUUUACUUUUAGCACUCUAUUUCAUUUCCCAUUGUUCAUAUCAUUAUAAUUGUUCAUGUUAAUGCAAUUUUCACUUUGUCCAUUUGGACCAUAUUGUGUGAUAUAUUUUGUUUGUGUAUACUUUGCUUGUUUGUGUGGUCUUUGACCAUUAAUGUACAUAAUAAUAACAAAAACCCUAAAAAACUUUUGAGUGGACUGUUGGCUUGAUCUUGGACAAAUGGACUUAGAAUCUAGGCAACCUUCCUAUGCUAAAGGACUUGGCCAAUGCCAACUUAUUGAGAAACCAAGUGCUUGCAAUUUGAAACUUCAUCUGAUACAUCAUUCAAGAUCUCUCUAAGUUCAUCUGCAACAUGAUCAUUGUGAAGCUGUUAUUUUGAACCUGUGACUUGUGGAAUUCAUCUGUUACAUGGGCUAUUUUGAAGAAGAUCAUGGAAUGGAUAAGCUUGGAUGUGGCCAUCUUUAUUUGAUGCCUUGCUCUUCAAGAUAAUAUAAUUGUGCAUUUGUGUGUUGCUUGAUUCUAAAAGUCCAAGGGAAUUCUGGGUUUCUAUUGACAUACUUGUCUAUUGGAUUGCUACCCAUUUGGUCAGAUCUUUUCAACUCUAAACUUUUAAAUUUUGUGCAUAGGGUAGUCUCUUCAUCUUCUCCCCAUUUCUUUAAUUUCAAAAUCUCUCUCUCUAUUUUCAAAAUCUUCUUUGUGUGAACUACUUUUGUUCUAAACUUUGACCACUUUGGCAAAAAGAUAGAAACUUUGGCCUUAUGCCAUUGCAUUUUCAAACUUAUUUUCUUAAAUCAAACUUGUAAAUAAACUUAACUAUACUUGACUUAAACUUUCAAAAAGCCAAAAAGAACUAACUCAUUCAAACCAUUUUUAGGCCUUUGUGCCUUUCAAACUUAAUUUUUGUUAAAAGCAAUGCAUCCACUUUGAAAUUUGUAUCACGAAUUACGAGGUUUUGAUCCCUCAUUUUUAUGUUGGUACGUAGGCACAAGACCGAAGGUCUUGUCAAACACAAAAAUAUAAUUAAUGAAUUCUUUUCUCAUCCCCCCAUUCUAUUUGUUUGUAAACAUCACUUUGUACAAAAUACAUAUGCACACAAAAAGGGCUCCCUAGGAGUACCUAGGACACUUUGGGUGCUAACACCUUCCCUCUGUGUAACCAACCCCCUUACCUGUGAUCUCUGACUUUUAUUAGUUUUUAUUUGAAAACUUCUUACUAUUUGGGUUUUGUUCGUACUUUUUCCCUUUUCCCUUGGAAACAAUAAAAGCGCGGUGGCGACUCUUGUUAUUUGAUCUCUAGCUUAUCCAUAGCUUGAUGAUCAUGAAUUUACCGCUACAGAAAUUAAGUGGCGACUCUGUUGGGGAGUAGUCUCCAGUGGGUUUAGCCUACUUUUUGUGUGUAUAUAUUUGUAUAUAUGUGAUGUUUGUAUAUAUGUAUGUGUGAUAUAAUCUGCUUGUUGUGCUUGGUGAUCUCUGAGUGGUGAGAUAAGUUCUAACCCGAACUUGAGUGCAAUUAAGAUAGGAGGAUGGUAUAGUCAUGUUCGACUUGUGUGGAGUAGUCCUUAACAAGUUGGCUUGAGAUCCAUCUGCUCAGUGGAGACUCUUUUGGAUUUGGAAAUGUCACACAAGUAUUUGUGGUUAGGCAUUACUAUCUCUAAUUUGGGUCCGAGAAGCUGAGGACCGUAGAACAUUUACCCCCUCUUGGCCUAUUUAGGACGUAGUGCGGAAACUGUUCAAGUGUAGACUUGAUAACAGUUGUUACGCGAUACUACACUCAGACGAGUUUCUCUUGAGAAUAUUAUGGGUCGAUGAGUCAGUCAUCUUAACCUGUAAUAUCCGAUAGAUGGAAUUAAGACUCUGGGAACUUUUUAGAACAUGAUCUACAGGUUUUUAUCCUUAGUUCACUCCUUUGGGAUGGUUCUUACCCAGACUCCAUGCUCGUGACUUACAACAAACCCUUGAUUCUUGGUUGAUCCAAUCAAGUCUUGUCAAUAUCAAUGGAACUUGGGUGUUGAUAAGGUGUAAACCAUAAUCCACCAAAAUGGAUGAUUGAUCUUGACAAUGACUUGAUUCAUCCCUUGACCUUUGUUUGCCUUGUGUGUGAUCCCUUAUUUGUGAUUGUUGCAUUCAUGCAUUCAUGCGCAUCAUAACAUUCAUCACACGAAAAUUUCAAGGAACUGAGGUAUUAUUUGCAAAUAUUUUCAGACCAUGGAUUAUGGACGAAGGAACACUAAGAAGUACAGUUUCAGAUGUCCCGACUUGAAAGAGUUAAGGAAGCUAGCAUCUUUUGUAUUAGAUCCCUUGGACUUCAAACAACGUCAUGGGAAGCUUCUGUCCAUCUUGUCUGCUGAUGUAGUUGAAGGACUCUUGAGUGUGCUAGUGCAGUUCUAUGUCCUCUCUACCAUUGUUUCACUUUCCCAGAUUUUCAGCUUGUGCCUACCUUGGAGGAGUAUUCUCAUCUUUUUGGGAUACCUAUUUCUAGUAGAAUGCCUUUUAGUGGAUUGGAGGAGAUUCUCCGAUCUAGUAUUAUUGCUGAAGCUCUUGACUUGAAGAAGUCUAAGAUAGAGGCUCAUUGGGUGAAGAAAGGAGGAUUAUUUGGGUUGCCAUCUGUUUUCCUCAUCAAGGAAGCUACUACUUUUUCUCAAGCUGGUAGUAUGGAUGCUUUUGAAGCUAUACUUGUGUUGCUCAUUUAUAUAUUAACUUUGUUCCCUAACAUUGACGGUUUUGUUGAUGUUAACGCCAUUAGACUUUUCUUGAUUAGGAAUCCUGUGCCUACUUUGUUGGGUGAUAUGUAUUUCUCUUUGCAUCUAAGGAAUUCUAAGGGUGGUAGAACGAUUGUCUGUUGCGUUCCUCUUCUGUACAAGUGGUUUAUUUCGCACUUACCUCAGACACCUGCUUUUCUAGAGAACAAACAAUGUCUAAGGUGGUCUCAGAGACUUAUGUCUCUCACUAAUGAUGAUAUAGUUUGGUAUGAUCCGUCUUUAAGCAGUUUGAAGAUUGAUAGUUGUGGUGAAUUCUCUAAUGUGCCUUUCAUUGGUACACAAUGGGGAAUUAACUAUAACCCUGCUUUGGCUCAUCGUCAACUUGGGUUCCCCUUGAGAGACAAACCUAAUAACAUGUUGUUAGAAGGUCUUUUCUAUCAAGAGGGUAAAGAUCCCCAACAUUUGAAGUAGAAGAUUGUGCAUGAGGCUCAUCGUCAACUUGGGUUCCCCUUGAGAGACAAACCUAAUAACAUGUUGUUAGAAGGUCUUUUCUAUCAAGAGGGUAAAGAUCCCCAACAUUUGAAGUAGAAGAUUGUGCAUGCUUGGCAUAAUAUGCACAGGAAAGGAAGAUCCGAGCUUGGUCCGUGCAAUUGUGUAGCUUUGGAAGCUUACACUCUUUGGGUGAAGAAGAGAGCUAUGGAGUUGAAGAUGCCCUAUCCUUGUGAAAGACCUAUGUCUAUGGUUGUGGUUGAGCCAUUAACUCUCCCUAAGCAAGAUGUAGAGGAGUUGGAAGACGCGCUCGCCAAGAUGAAGCAAGAGAAGGAUAUGUGGGAAGAGCGUUUCUGUGCUUUGAGAAAGAAGCAUGAAGAGUUGCAAUUGGAGUCUAAGGACAAAGACGCACUUAUCGAGUUACUUGAAGACCGAGUGACGAAGAGACAGAGAGAGCCAGAGGUUUCAUCUUCUAGCAUGCCUCAGCCUUCCGUUGCUUGGAAGAAGAUUGUGGAUCAGCUUGUCCUCGAGAAGAUUUAGAUGAAGGCUUCUUUUGAGACCGAGAUCCGUCGCAUUCGAAGGAAGUACGCGCCUUCAGCCAAAUCUUCUGACAUUGUUGUUAGGGAUCCUUAGGAUGACUAGUCUCCUUUUCUCUUGUAUCUUUUAGAUGAAGGCUUCUUUUGAGACCGAGAUCCGUCGCAUUCGAAGGAAGUACGCGCCUUCAGCCAAAUCUUCUGACAUUGUUGUUAGGGAUCCUUAGGAUGACUAGUCUCCUUUUCUCUUGUAUCUUUUUCAUUUGGUUUCUGAAAUUGUACUCAGUGUAAUCCUUCCAAUUUAUAUAAAUAAAAAGAGAUUUUUGGUCAUAUCAAUUUGUUGCAAUUGGCAUUUAAAUAUUAUAUAUUUGCAAAUGAUAUAGUAAGUUCCUCGAAAAUAAAAAUAAUCAAGCAUUGCAUUUCAUGCAUCAUUUGCAUAAGCAGGUUUUCGUCAGAUGUCUGAUUGGUGUUUCUUCUGUGCUUUAGCCAAGCUGACUCACCGGUACAAUACCCGAGCCAAUCAUCAGAAAAUCAUGGAACAUUUGGAGCAAGAGAAUAGAGAGCUGAAGGACGAGAUCGCCCGUCUGACUGCCAUGAUGGAGUCAGUUCUUGCUGCUCAGAACCAAGCUUCUCCAACACCUGCAACUCCUCCCGCGAGGACUAUUACUUCAGAGGUGACUACCUCUACCAUGCCUGCUGCUAUCGCCCAUUUCACGCUGAAUAUGCCUGCCGGAUUCCCAUGGGAAAUUCCGCCCAACUUUGUGCCCGAAGGAUUUGCGCCUACAUUUGCUUCCAUGUCGGCAUCUAGCCCGGUCAUGUCCGUGCCACCUCCCGAUGUGCACACUUUGCCUCGUGUAGAGGAUACCAUCUAUCAUUCCGAGUCGUCUGAGGGUCCGGAUGUUUAUGAGAAGAUGGACGAAAUGAAAGAUCAGUUUCUUGAGUUGCGCAAGGAAUUGAAGACGCUGAGAAGUAAAGAUUUGUUUGGGAAGAGUGCUGUCGAGUUGUGUUUGGUACCCAAUGUCAAAAUCCCAGUGAAGUUCAAAGGGCCUGACUUUGAAAAAUAUAAGGGGAACUCUUAUCUGCUCAGUCAUCUUGUGAUGUAUGCUCGCAAGAUGUCUAUCUAGACAGAUAAUGAUCAAUUUCUUAUUCACUACAUUCAAGAUAGUUUAACUGGUGCUGCACUCCGUUGGUACAUGGGGUUGGAUAGUGCAAGCAUUCGCACUUUCAACGACUUGGGAGAGGCUUUUGUGAAGCAAUACAAGUAUAAUAUGGACAUGGCGCCAGAUAGAGACCAGUUGAGGUCUAUGUCUCAGAAGGACAAAGAGACAUUUAAAGAGUACGCGCAAAGAUGGAGGGAGUUGGCUGCCCAGAUCACUCCUCCUUUGGAGGAGAAAGAAAUGACAAAAAUCUUCUUGAAAACUCUAAGUUCAUUUUAUUAUGAACGCAUGAUCGCUAGUGCCCCUAGUGAUUUUACCAAAAUGGUAAACAUGAGGAUGAAACUUGUGGAAGGAGUCCGUGAGGGACAGUUGUCAAAAGAUGAGGCGUCAACAAGCAAGAGACAUGGAAGAAACUUUGGUAAGAAGAAGGAUAGUGAGACCAACGCAGUAAUCAGUGGAAGGCAGAAGAGGCCUCAGAUCAGAAGAAAUCCACCACCCCGUCAACAUCAUCAUCAUCAAGUGUCAUCAGUAAUUCCGGUAUUUUCUAAUCAACAAGCAACACCAAUUCAACAACAACAACAAUAUCAACGUCAACAACAACAACCGCAAUAAAGAACGAACCCCUACAACAAGAACAAUACCAACAACAAUCAUCAUUAGCAGAAUUUCGAGAGGAAGAAGGUCUCUUUUGACCCAAUUCCUAUGUCAUAUGCAGAGUUGUAUCCUUCGCUAGUUCUCAAGAACUUAAUUCAACCAAGAAACCCACCGCAGAUCCCAAAACCACUUCCCUGGUGGUAUAAACCUGAGCUCCGUUGUGCUUUUCAUCAAGGAGCACCCGGACACGAUAUUGAAAAUUGCUAUCCAUUGAAGUAUGAGGUUCAAAAGCUUAUGAAGAGUGGUAUGGUGUCCUUUGAGGACCGCGUGCCAAAUGUUAAAACAAACCCUUUGCCCGCUCAUGGGAACUCUUCGGUGACUAUGGUGGACGGUUGUCCUGGAGAAUUCAAGGUUUUUGACGUCCGGUUUAUCCGAAGAUCUUUGGUGCAGAUGCACAAGGAUAUCUGUUUGGUGAGUGACUGUGAACAUGACCAUGAUGGUUGUGUUGUGUCAUACCCCAAUUUUGUCUGGGCAUUUUAAAAAUUUCAUAAAUUCGAUUUUUAUUUCAAUUUGCAUCAGUUGUACAACAUAACAUGCAUUUCAUCAUUAAUAAUAUCUAAAACAUCAAUCGGAAUAAAUUCUUGAAAAUACAGACAAUUUGGUUAAAUCAUUCCUCAAGUACAUGCAAAAUCAGCGGAUAAAAAGUUUCAAAAUUAAACUUGCAGACGCCAGUAUUAUUAAUCUACGGUCCGCGUAGUUCAGCCUGGUGUGCUCGUUAUAUUUUUCGACGACUUUUUCAGCUGCAUUUUAAUUCGUCUGAGCCUUUCAACCGGUGAAAAUUUAUUUUAAAAUUAAAAGAAACGCUGUAUUUUUUCAAUAAGUAUAUUUCGUGCUGAUCAUUUUAGUGCAUCCGAUUUAAUUUUUUGAAUAAAUUUAUAUCUGACUUCUAUUUAUAAUCAAUCAUUUUAUUUUUUUGUUCAAAUUUUCAAAUUAAACGAUUAGAGAUUUUUUUAUUUAUCUAAUUUAAAAUAUUGAUUAGAAAUUUAUAAUAACCAUAUUUUAUUUAAUAAUAAAUAAUAAUGAUUGUUUUCAAAAAAUAAAAUAAAGUUUAUACAUUGGAUUCCUUGUGAAAUUGCCAGCUGGUGCCACCAAUUACUCCAACGGAUCUCUCACUAAAAACAAAAAAAAAUACAAAAAGAGGAAGCUAACAAAUAGGUGACUCUCGAUCGACUGCUCUAGCUCUCUCUGAAAAGAAAAAUAAAGAAAAGAGGAUGGUUCCUCUUCUUUCUCAAUACCUCUCUCUCACUUUCUUACUAUCUGAAAAAAAAACAAAAAUAAAAAAGGAUUAAAGAUGAACCACUGUUCAUCUUCCUAACAACAACCCGUAACCACCGCGAAACCCAUCAUGAAACCUCCGUUUCCUCCUUUUCACACCUCCUUCGCUCCGCCGCAUCAACCUUCUUCAAACACACACAUUACCGGCGAACCGACCCCUCUCCGAACACAACAACCAUAACUCCAUAAAUUUUCGUCGCCGCCGCGAAAAACUUCUGCAACAAAAUAUCAACCGCGCAUCACCGACUCCUUCUGCCGUGAUUCACAACCGAUGACUCCUUUUUCUCCACAUCCUCCGUCUACGCGCAUAUCCAACACCUUGCAUCCACUACAAUCCCACACGGCCAAGAUAUCGUACCACCAUCUCCGAACUCAAUCUCCAAGGUGGUUUUCUUUUUAACUUUAAAAUUUGAGUUGUUUUGUGAUUUGUUUUGUUUAUGUUUUAAUUAUUCUUCUUUGAUUUGGAAUUGGAGAGAGAUUGGAUGAAACAAAGUAUGGAUUUUGUUUUAUUUCAAAUGAUCAUUGUUGUUGUUGAUUGCUGUUGAGAGAAAGGAGAGUGUGAGUUUUUUUAUCUUUUUUUUUCCGUUUGAAAUAAAAAGAAGAAGCUUUGUUCUUCUUUAUUUUUCUGAAAGAAAGAUCUGUUGCAUUGGUGGUUUCAUUUUAAAGAUGAUGUUGUUUCUCAUUUAUUAGUUUUAUUUGUGAAAUUUUAAAAUAGUUGAAAAAAUCUACUAGAUUUCAUUUUACUGUUUUUUAUAAAUAAGAGGAGCAUAUACGGUUUUCUUGAAGGAGGAGAAAUGUGUGGAAAUAGAGUUUGUUCAUUUUAGAUCUAGGUUUCUUUCUUUAAUAAUGGACAAUAAUAUUAUUUAGUAAUGUUUGAAAAGGUCAUAAUCAUGUUAUUUACUGUUUUUGAAGAGAGAUGGAAACAUGGGAGAGAGCUUUGUGGGGAAGAAACUUUUCUUUAAUUUCAUGUUUAGAAGGGUGAUUUGAGUGAAAUAGAGGAUGUUGGUUUCUUAGAUUUUUGUUUCUUUCUCUAAAUUGCCAAGUGAUAAUUUGGAUAUGGCUAAUGUUUUUUUUGAGAAAAGUAAUGCUAGGCCUUAGGGGCGUCGCCCCAAUUGUAUAUAUUAAAUUCUUGCUCAUUUAUUUUAUUUAUCUAUUUAUUUAUUUUACUCAUUAAGGUUUAAUUUUAAAUUAUGGUUAGUGUUAAUUAUUGGGUUGGAUUCAAUUUAUUUUUUACACCCCAUGGUCAUGUAUACACUCUUACUAUUUCUUUGUACUAUUUUCUUCUUGAUUCGACUAAUAGUAAAUUAAUUGAUUAGUUUUUUAAUUGAUUUGCUGAUUACGAUACUUAUUAAUUAUUUUAUUUUUCUUUGCAAAAGUAGGUUAUUGUGAUUAUUUUACUUAGUCGAUUUCAAUGUGUUAAUCUUUUAAUUAGAUAAUCUUUAUCCAUAUCAUAAGAUUGCACAUGUAAA
rnacentral:lncRNA from 1 species